GAGAGAGAGAGAGAGAGAGAGCGAUAGAGAGAGGUAGGGUGUGAUCACUUGUGUUAUUUUCCCACGACUAAUUUAUGUCAAACAUGAGUUGCUUAAUCCACCGCUCAGAUUGGAUUAUUUGAUAUGGAUUGCAAAAGAAUUGAAGUGAAACCAAGCAAGUUUUUAACUCCGCGCCAUCUUGCUGUUAAUUUCUAACCUCGAGGAAAACAAUGCGGGCCGCUUUCAGCGACGUGACACUCCCAACACAAGCGCUUGCGGAGGAAAAAACCUAGGACGCCACUUCAUGUUUACUCUUGGAGCAAAAUGUUUCUUUUCCGUUGGACCUUUUGUUGUUUUCUACUGGCGUUUCCUAAACCGGCCUGCGGUCGUCCUGGAUACGGCAUGGCAGAAGUCACAUGUUCACAGGGCCUACGUGAGUGCACCGUGGCGGAUGAGAUCCCUCUCGGCAUCUGGGAGAGCGACGCUGCUGAUGUGCGGGCGCUGGGGGCGAAGGUGGAGGUUUGCUGCCACGGCAACGCGCCUUGCACGUUGUGUCUGCUGCUCGACGCUCAGCUCGCCGUCCGCGCGGACCAAAGCGGCCGAUCGGGGCGCCGCGCCGAGGGGGACGGAAGGGAGGCCGCCAAUUUGACAGCGUCCGUGACGUUAUGUUACAAAACGCCGCCGACUUUCCCAGCAUGCAAGAGGGUGGACUUCAAAAUCUGUUCUACAGAACUCGAGCAGAACGUGGCAAAGGUAUCGCUGGCGAUUACGAAUCCAGCUGGGGUUUCCUUCGGCAGUAUCGUGUACGUUUAUCCUUUGAAAGCGCUGCAGCGGACCAAAGAAGUCGUGGCUCCAUCUCUAAAUGAAGUGUGCUCCCAAAACCCGCAGAAACCCAUCAAAGAGUGUCACGUGCCCACAGUCAACAGUGUCAUUAACCGUGAAAUGAAUCACGUGGAGCUGAAAUUUGCUCCGAGGAACAAAGUCUGCAUCCAGUACGAGGCCGACGGAAGAUGCCAGAGUUGGGAGAGAAAGACCAUCCCGCUGCACUCCGUGACGCCCUGCUUGUGCCUCCAGGUUUGGGACGAUGACAAGCCGAGACGCUCUCGGAGCUGCCCCUUCACAAACACGGGUUCCCUUCAGAAGAACGUAUGGCAGAACCUGACCGUCUCUGUGGGCCACGGUCGGAUGAACGACAAGGGCCAAAUGCUGCUGUGGAACUUGUCCGCCCCGUGCAGGCUGGAGGGGGAGGUGUGGCCCUGUCGGCGGGCUUCGGGUCACCCAUGCGCUGAAAUUGAGGGCUUCCGGCAGCGGCUGGAGAAUACCACAUGGGAGCAAAACAGUAACGUGCGAUGGGUCAGAAAGGGUGUUUUUGAAGAUAUUAAUCUGCAGCUGUCACCGUGUGUGAUGGUGAAUUUAACGGAUGGGGGCCUCCUACUCGGACCUUUCUGCUCUCAUCAAUCCCCAAGAUGGCGCUGGACUCUGCUUGCCGUGGCUGUUUUGCUCGUGGUCGCCUUGGCAGCACUGAUGUCGCGUCUUCGUCAUGACUUUGUCAAGCAAUGGGCGAGCCACUCUUUCCGUGAAGGAUGUGCCGAGAAUGGCCGGAAAGGUCACGUGGUCCUGGUGAGCCCCCCGGAUAUCCACGACGGCGUUUCCGAGGUCUGCGACCUGGGAUCCCUGCUUCAGAACCACGGCUUCAGCGUGUCGGUGGACCAGUGGAGCAGGACGGAGCAGUGCGACCUGGGCCCCCUCCCGUGGCUUCACUCCCAGCUGCUGCGCGUGAAGAACCUGGGCGGCCGCGCCGUCAUCAUCCUGACCCGCAAAGCCUUGGGGCUGGCGCACGAGUGGAGCCGCCAGCGACUGGAGUCUCUCCGGGAGGGGGGAGGAGACGGCGACGCGCCUCAGUCGCCGUACUCGGACGUGUUCGUGGCCUCGCUGUGCCUCAUCCUGGGGGACAGACGGCAAGGGAGGACCGGAGAACGUUUCGUCCUGGUCACGUUCGACCGGGACGUGGCGCGGCCUCCUGGGAUCUUACCCGAACCCUUCCAAGGCCUUCAUUUGUUCCAGCUCCCCUCCCAGAUGAAAACUCUGCUGCGUGAGCUCGGCGGGGGAGCCAAAGCGAAGGGAGACGGCGGGAGGUCGAAGGCCGGCUCCGGGUGGGCAACCUCGGAUGGAUGGAAAUUAAAGACUGACGAUACCGGCGCAGUGUAAAUAUUCUGGAAUUCGCAGAUCAUGCUGAACAUUUGUUGCUCUUUGGAAGGAAGGAGUCCACCUUGAUAAGAGGGACUGCAACCUGUCACUACAUGUAGGGAUGUGCUGCAAACUAUUUGUGGAAGCGAUUCAGAAGGUUUAGGAAGAUUGGUGGACAUCUCUUCCUAAUUAUUGGAUCGAAAGUAUUCUCGAGACUCUUUUGGGUGGGGGGGUUCUUCAAUGGAUCACAAAGUGCCCCGUGUGACUUAAAGUAUGUACAAAAUGAUCUACUGCGAAUGUUUAGUGAGCCUGCUCAGCUGGAGAAGAAGCUGCAGACUCCCUUGACCCGCUGACACCGUUGAGAAUCGCCUGCAGCGGGAGCACCAUGAGUUCAAAAAAUAAAAAAAUAACAAAAUAAAACAUCCUGCAACAAGAUGUGUGUGGAUGCAUAGUCUUUUUUUUUUCUUCGUAAUCUGUCCGAUUCUUGUAUUCUUACAUCCUUUUUUUUUUUGGCGACUCCGACUGGGUGUGUACCGUAAUUUCCGGCCUACGAGCCGCGACUUUUUUUCCACACGGUUUAUGCGGUGAUGCGGCUAAUUUGUGCGUUGCCCGCGAGGGGGCACUCGGGCGGAAAAGGUAAAAGUGAGACCGGUGGAAUAUAUGUGCAGAGGACUUUUACCGGCCCUGUUAGCGCCGCGCUGGUGUUAGCGCUGUGUCAGGGUGUUGCUGCUGUGUUACUGCCGUGUCUCAGUGAGAUUUACCGGUAAGCUUUAUUUUAACCGACCCUGUUAGCGUUAGUGCUAGCGUAGCACGGCGCUAGCAUUAGCAUUGGCGCUGCGCUAGAGUUAAACUCUUUCUGUGUACCGUCUUUCUUUGUAAAUAUCUCAUGUUUGAAUGUGGGUUUCAGUGUGGGGACUUGCGGCUUUUACACAGCUGCGGCGUACGUAUGUCAUGUCAUGAUCCAUGCUGCUUAUCCUCACAAGGGUUGCGGGACAGCUGGAGCCUAUCCCAGCUAGCUUCGGGCGAAAGGCAGACUACACCCUGAAGUGGUCGCCAGUCAGUCGCAGGGCAGCUAUCUACACCAUCACUGAGCGGGAAUCGAUCCCACGCUGCCCGCCCCCAAGGCAGACGUAGGCGUACGUAUGUACCAAAUGGUAUUUCCUUUCCAAAUGUACUCGGUGAGGAUUGUAACUAGGUGCGCUCUGUAGGCCGGGAAUUACGCUAAUUACACUUUGAACAGAGUGAGUUGAAUUCCUUCAUGCAACACUGACGUCUGCAUAGAUUGAUUUUUUUUUUCUCUCUCUCACUAUGUUGGAUUGAAAUGAGGUAAUAUGAAGAUGACGGCAAACUCAAGCAAAAAAAAAAAAAAAAAAAAGAAGAUGGAGGGCCCUCAUGUUCAUUUCAAGGCACCUCUUCGAAAUGGCCACAGGACAACAAAAACGGGUUGGCAUGCUUCCUCUAUGCUCACAUUUGGGAAAGCACACGGUGGACACGAGCUCCUCUGAGGAGCCGACAUAAGUAAAAAGGUACAAAAAAGAGGUCCUUUCGGGUGCGUUAGUUCGGAUUUUUAGGACUCACAGUCGCAUAAUGGCCUGAAUGUGAAGGUGCGGGUGGUGGUGGUGGGGGGGGGGGGGUGAAGAUGAAGACAUGGCGGAGGCAGCCAGAUCCAAAUGAGUCCGUCAAGCUUUGGGGGUCACGACCUUGAAGCAAUCCCGACGAGGGAGCCAGGAAGGAAGAACACGCAGCUUUGACCAGGCGGA